GUUUGGGUCGUGGGUGCCAAGGGAUGGUAGUCCAACAGAAGUUUUCUUAAUAUUUACUUUUCAGGUCAGUGACGUAAGCCUAGAUUAUGAUUUAACGUUUUCAUAACGGGCUCUAACCCCCAUCCUCUUGGUGUAGGAUAGAUGUGGUUGUCCAAGGAAGCUGAUCUGAGGCCAGUUUGAAGUUAGAAUGAGCGGUUUAAAGUUAAAAUGAGAGGUUUGGUAAUCUGAUCCUACAUCAGCAGAAUCCACCCAGGGCGCCGUUACAUACCCAAAACAUAUCGCAUAUCGCAGGCUGUUGCGUUUUCUCGGAGGGAGUAGCAUUACGCGUAACAGUAGCCAUUCUCCCCAACCCCCCAGUCUCAGGGGUGUGAUGGAUAAAGCCUCGCCGACCACAGACAAUCUCUGCCCGUAUCGAUGUCUCUGUGUCCCUACGGACACCAUCUGGGACAUGCCAUGAGAUGUCAGCUGGGUUAUUUCUCACGCCGUCUCAAUACAGGUGAAAGUGUGGAAACAAGGGAUAAUGAAAAAGUAGGAUAACACGAGAGUUCGGUUAUAGAGCGGAUUGACUGCAAGCUGCUGGAGCGAACAGGGCAAAGGAUUUGUGCUAUCGAAGUAAAGCAUCGGGCAACGGUGUAAUACAGUAGGCUAGUUAGUGCACCAUUGACCAUAACACCAUCACACCGAAAGUGUUUUAGGGAAUAUCCCAAUCACAGGUUUGUGAAAUACCAGGAUACGGGUUUAUCUGACAGGGGACUGUGAGGUGCCGGUCCACUCCUGACCUACAGGAUGCCAUCCUCCUGGUGCUGAUCUACACAGGAGAUCCAACCAGAAGGGGUUUUGAGGCCGACACCCCCAAGACCUCGCAGGACCCCGCCCCCCUUCUCUGCCUCCUCCCCCUCUCCACCUCUACCUGUCUCCUGAUGUAUAGAACCCAUUGCUGAACGUAAGUAUUACACUCCUUGAAUGUGCUGUGAAGUUGUAGUAAAGAACAUAGAGUUUAACUAACUACUGUAGUUCCCCCCUACCUACCUCUCUAUCUCUCUCUCUCUCUCUCUCUUUCCUCU